GUUUUGAUCCUGGCUUAGGACGAACGCUGGCGGCGUGCUUAACACAUGCAAGUCGAACGGAGAUUAGAAGGAAGCUUGCGAAUUCUAAACUUAGUGGCGCACGGGUGAGUAACGCGUGGAUAACCUGCCUGGUAGACCGGGAUAACAGCUGGAAACGGCUGCUAAUACCGGAUACGCUUAAGGGAACGCAUGUUCUUUUAAGGAAAGCAAUCGUGCUAUCAGAUGGAUCCGCGUCCCAUUAGCUAGUUGGUGGUGUAAGGGACCACCAAGGCGACGAUGGGUAGCCGGCCUGAGAGGGCGACCGGCCACACUGGGACUGAGACACGGCCCAGACUCCUACGGGAGGCAGCAGUGGGGAAUCUUCCGCAAUGGGCGAAAGCCUGACGGAGCAACGCCGCGUGAGGGAAGAAGGCCUUCGGGUUGUAAACCUCUGUCAUCAAGGAAGAACAGAUGACGGUACUUGGAGAGGAAGCCCCGGCUAACUACGUGCCAGCAGCCGCGGUAAAACGUAGGGGGCGAGCGUUGUCCGGAAUUACUGGGCGUAAAGGGCGCGUAGGUGGUCCAUUAAGUUAGAGGUGAAAGAUCGGGGCUCAACCCCGAGAUUGCCUCUGAUACUGGUGGACUUGAGUGCAGGAGAGGGGAGCGGAAUUCCCAGUGUAGCGGUGA
rnacentral:rRNA from 1 species